AUUGAACGCUGGCGGCAUGCCUUACACAUGCAAGUCGAACGGUAACGCGGGGCAACCUGGCGACGAGUGGCGAACGGGUGAGUAAUGCAUCGGAACGUGCCCAGUUGUGGGGGAUAACUGCUCGAAAGAUCAGCUAAUACCGCAUACGACCUGAGGGUGAAAGCGGGGGAUCGCAAGACCUCGUGCAAUUGGAGCGGCCGAUGCCGGAUUAGCUAGUUGGUGGGGUAAAGGCCCACCAAGGCGACGAUCCGUAGCUGGUCUGAGAGGACGACCAGCCACACUGGGACUGAGACACGGCCCAGACUCCUACGGGAGGCAGCAGUGGGGAAUUUUGGACAAUGGACGCAAGUCUGAUCCAGCCAUGCCGCGUGCGGGAAGAAGGCCUUCGGGUUGUAAACCGCUUUUGCCAGGGAAGAAAUCUUCUGGGUUAAUACCUCGGGAGGAUGACGGUACCUGAAGGAUAAGCACCGGCUAACUACGUGCCAGCCGCCGCUGUAACAC
rnacentral:rRNA from 1 species